UCCCUGCUGGCUCAGUUGGUAAAGAAUCUGCCUGAAAUGUGGAUGACCUAGGUUUGAUCCCUGGGUUGGGAA
rfam:Ovis aries breed Texel chromosome 2, whole genome shotgun sequence.